UCAGGAUGAACGCUAGCUACAGGCUUAACACAUGCAAGUCGAGGGGCAGCAUGGUCUUAGCUUGCUAAGGCCGAUGGCGACCGGCGCACGGGUGAGUAACACGUAUCCAACCUGCCGUCUACUCUUGGACAGCCUUCUGAAAGGAAGAUUAAUACAAGAUGGCAUCAUGAGUCCACAUGUUCACAUGAUUAAAGGUAUUCCGGUAGACGAUGGGGAUGCGUUCCAUUAGAUAGUAGGCGGGGUAACGGCCCACCUAGUCUUCGAUGGAUAGGGGUUCUGAGAGGAAGGUCCCCCACAUUGGAACUGAGACACGGUCCAAACUCCUACGGGAGGCAGCAGUGAGGAAUAUUGGUCAAUGGGCGAGAGCCUGAACCAGCCAAGUAGCGUGAAGGAUGACUGCCCUAUGGGUUGUAAACUUCUUUUAUAAAGGAAUAAAGUCGGGUAUGCAUACCCGUUUGCAUGUACUUUAUGAAUAAGGAUCGGCUAACUCCGUGCCAGCAGCCGCGGUAAUACGGAGGAUCCGAGCGUUAUCCGGAUUUAUUGGGUUUAAAGGGAGCGUAGAUGGAUGUUUAAGUCAGUUGUGAAAGUUUGCGGCUCAACCGUAAAAUUGCAGUUGGUACUGGAUAUCUUGAGUGCAGUUGAGGCAGGCGGAAUUCGUGGUGUAGCGGUGAAAUGCUUAGAUAUCACGAAGAACUCCGAUUGCGAAGGCAGCCUGCUAAGCUGCAACUGACAUUGAGGCUCGAAAGUGUGGGUAUCAAACAGGAUUAGAUACCCUGGUAGUCCACACGGUAAACGAUGAAUACUCGCUGUUUGCGAUAUACUGCAAGCGGCCAAGCGAAAGCGUUAAGUAUUCCACCUGGGGAGUACGCCGGCAACGGUGAAACUCAAAGGAAUUGACGGGGGCCCGCACAAGCGGAGGAACAUGUGGUUUAAUUCGAUGAUACGCGAGGAACCUUACCCGGGCUUAAAUUGCAGAUGAAUUACGGUGAAAGCCGUAAGCCGCAAGGCAUCUGUGAAGGUGCUGCAUGGUUGUCGUCAGCUCGUGCCGUGAGGUGUCGGCUUAAGUGCCAUAACGAGCGCAACCCUUGUUGUCAGUUACUAACAGGUUCUGCUGAGGACUCUGACAAGACUGCCAUCGUAAGAUGUGAGGAAGGUGGGGAUGACGUCAAAUCAGCACGGCCCUUACGUCCGGGGCUACACACGUGUUACAAUGGGGGGUACAGAGGGCCGCUACCACGCGAGUGGAUGCCAAUCCCAAAAACCUCUCUCAGUUCGGAUUGGAGUCUGCAACCCGACUCCAUGAAGCUGGAUUCGCUAGUAAUCGCGCAUCAGCCACGGCGCGGUGAAUACGUUCCCGGGCCUUGUACACACCGCCCGUCAAGCCAUGAAAGCCGGGGGUACCUGAAGUGCGUAACCGCAAGGAGCGCCCUAGGGUAAAACUGGU
rnacentral:rRNA from 1 species